rnacentral:rRNA from 1 species
UACGUAGGGCGCAAGCGUUGCCCGGAAUUAUUGGGCGUAAAGAGCUCGUAGGCGGUUUGUCGCGUCUGCCGUGAAAGUCCGGGGCUCAACUCCGGAUCUGCGGUGGGUACGGGCAGACUAGAGUGAUGUAGGGGAGACUGGAAUUCCUGGUGUAGCGGUGAAAUGCGCAGAUAUCAGGAGGAACACCGAUGGCGAAGGCAGGUCUCUGGGCAUUAACUGACGCUGAGGAGCGAAAGCAUGGGGAGCGAACAGG